rnacentral:lncRNA from 1 species
CUUUCUCUGAUCAUGGAGAUUGUCUGAAGCAACUGACUGGAUCAGCUGCUUGUCAUUCACCUCCUUGUGUUGCAGCAAGCCGAUGGAGCGUGCUAGCGUUUUCCCUCUGUCCAGAAUCAGCAGUAUGUUACAUGUCUGUAGCAGAUGAGUGGUUGCUUCCUCGUUCUGAGAUGUCUUGCUGCCUCCUUGCACUCCGUGCUUGUAUUUCCUCACUCCGAACACAGAGCCAAAGCACUGGGAAGUGGCCGGUGGUGAUUUCUAGCUGAUGCCUCCAAGAGAACCCACGCAAGCCUUGCAGCUUCACCUUGUUCGGCUGGUAGAAAUUAGGAGCUGCAAGAUGUCAGCAGGCUUCAUCUUGCUGCUGAGGAAGCUGGAGGAGAAGAGCAGAGGUGGAAACUCUGGUUAUGCUCCCAGCUGAGAGCUGAUCGUGCCUGCGGGGAUAGAUGCAGAGCUUGCGAUGGAGUAGCCCCAUGUGUCGGGUCAGGCUGGGAGCAGCUCUGCAGUCAAGGACUGCUGGCACCGGGUGGACAACAAGCUGCUUUCGGGACGUUGAAGGCCAACGUGUGUUUGCAAUCGCAGCUCAGCAGCGGCAAAGAGGACAAAAAGGGACCGCAGCAAGGGCAAACCUCAGCAUGUCAUUAUCCAGUGCACACCUCCAGCACGCCCCAGGGAGGUACUUCACCACGCUCCAUUUCAAUUAAAUAGUAAUUUCCCUGUCCUAGGCAGCGCAGUGAUGUGCAGUAGUUUGGGUUAGUGCCAAGCUCGGUGGUUUCAAUCAGUGAAGGCAUUGCCCUGUGCCUAGCAAGUUCCCGUUUGCGAUAAAACCUGUUGUGUGGUGGAGUGCUGUCCGUCUUGGAGGUGUCCAGCAGCUCUGCUGAUCCAGCCCUGCACCACUGGGUGCUCAGAGCCACCCAUCAGUCAUCUCUGCACAACUACUGCGUGCUUUGCUGCUAGUAUUUCUGAUUGUACUCCUCGACCAAACAGUCCCAGGCACGCAGUUUGUCAAAGGUGCAAGUGACCUCGGCUAAAAAGUGACUGAUUUGGG